AGCGAACGCUGGCGGCGUACUUAACACAUGCAAGUCGAACGAGGAUCGUCGGGUUAGCAAUAAUUCGGCGGUUCUAGUGGCGUACGGGUGAGUAACACGUGGGUAACCUGCCCUCGAGUCCGGGAUACCCUCUCGAAAGGGAGGCUAAUACUGGAUACGUUCCCUAGGUCGCAAGGCCUGGGGAGGAAAGGUAGCGAGAGCUGCCGCUCUUGGAGGGGCUCGCGGCCUAUCAGCUAGUUGGGAGGUAACGGCUCACCAAGGCGAUGACGGGUAGCUGGUCUGAGAGGACGACCAGCCACACGGGAACUGAGACACGGUCCCGACUCCUACGGGAGGCAGCAGUGGGGAAUUUUCCGCAAUGGGCGAAAGCCUGACGGAGUGACGCCGCGUGGGGACGAA
rnacentral:rRNA from 1 species